UCUGUGGCGGGAGAGCGUGAGAAAAGACCAAAAUGCAUGACUGUCACUCUCAAUGCGUGACACUUGACAGCCCUGUUAGGUAAUCUCUGACUUUGACAUGACAUUCACCAGAUUUGCUCAUAAAGGGAAAUGCUGCCCUACAACACACAGUGAGUAAACAGAAUAAAUGUUUCCAACACUUUUUCUGUUGGUGUGAAAGGUUUCUUGUUAACUCUUAAAUCAAUCCCCUCAGAGCUGCAGCAGUGACUCUGCAUUAACACACGGCUCUUUACAGAUUGCUUCCUGAUUGGUUAAAUGACAUUAAGUAAUUAAAUCAGCUGUUCAUAUGGUUUAUUAUUUUCCUCCUCAGAUAUUCUUCACAACACACUCUGAUUAGUGAGGAGUGUAAAGUAAAGGUAAAAACCCACCAGUGUUCAUGACGUGUAUGACGUAUCAUACAAAACAUUGACAGAGAAAAGCAGACAGAAGAGGAAUCAGAUUUUUUUAUGUUGCUCACGUGAUUCUGUUUGAGACCUGAUUUCCUUCACUAAAAAUUCAUUAAUUUUUCACUCCGCAGAUGUCAGAUUUGGUGGCUUACUAUUAUCCCAUUGAGAUCGACAGCUCGAAGUCUGUGGAGGAGAAAAUUCCUCACAUGGAGGAGUGGUGGAUGUAAGCUCACACUUUGUUUAUCAAGCAGCGAAAUAGGAAAGACCAGCUGGCUCAGGCUGUUUGAGAUCCGGGUGCCAUGUUGAGGAAUUUUACCCACAAUGCACCAUGUUCCAUAUAAUAUAGUUAGUGCACUUCUUUGUGUGUUUACAUCUUCACAUUAUGCUCUGUGUGUGUCUCUAUUAGAGAAGGCUAAAGGUCUUUCUUUGACAUGCUGAAGGAGAACUCUGUCCCUCUGCUGAUCUUCUCGGCUGGAGUCGGAGAUAUUUUAGAGGAAGUGAUAAUCGGAUAUGGUGUCUUCUCCUCGAAUGGUUUUGCAUGUGCAUUUAAGGGCGAGUUGAUCCACACGUUUAAUAAAAGAGAGGGAGCUCUGCAGAACAUACACCAGUUUGUACAAUGUGCUGCUGCUGGGAGACUCACUGUGAGACCUAGACAUGGCCGACGGCGUGCAGGACCUCGAAAACAUCCUGUGCAUCAGCUACCUCAAUGACAAGAAACAUCACCUGCCCGAGCACACACUGGCUUUCCCUGGUUGUUUGCUCACCUGCGUUUGCUUGCUCUUGUGUAUUUGCCUUUUCUUAUUCCCAAUUCUGAUUUAGUUAUUGUGUGUUAAGUUUUCCACCUUGCGAACUCUAUGACGCUGCUAUUGAAGUUAAUGCUGUGACUCGACUCUCGGUUUAACGGUGUUUAUUCCAGUCCUUCUCCGAUACAUAGUGAUUGGAACCAGGUUAGUAUGUCACAUGACUUACAUUUCAUCACGCAGAGUAAAACUGUUUACACACACUAGGUUAUGAGCGGAUGCCAAUCCUUGUAUUUAUGUUAUUAUGCACCACCCUUCACCAAUAGAGGAAAGGUUUUCUUUUGACCGCGUCUUAAUAAUUCCAUUUAUUACGUCCUCUAGACUCAUAGUGAGAUGUAACAUAAUUUGGGCUCCUAAACAAGUGGAUGCAGUCGCCUUUGUUGGGGACUGAGGUGUGUGUUUUGUUAACAGGCAGGAUUUUGUGUGAACGUUAGGUUGAGCAAAUUUAGUCUUGUGGCAUUGUGGUGAGGUUUGAUGGUGUUUAACUUGCAGAGUUUUGUUGAUAAUCCCUUGUAGAAGGUGAUUGAUAAAUGCAGGAAGGAUGAGUCGUUAAUAAUAGCUAAACACUUCCAAAUUGCGAUUCCAAAACAAACUUUAAAAAAGAAUAUUAAAACCGAAUUAAUUGACUGCUUAGUUAAUUCCGGAGUUUUAAGCUUGCCUAAUGUAGAUAGAGGGGCGGAUCUUUCUGGUGAGGAGCAGGAUGCUGGGGAAUUUGGUGAAGGUGAGGGCGAGUUAGUCACAGCAGAGGCUGAGGGUAAAGCUGGGGCAACUCUUCCACCUUUCGUACCCUUUUCACCGAGCACUCCCAGGUCAGGAGUCACAGUUGAGCGUGUGGAUCGCACGGCUCCGGAUGGAGGCUCAUGAGAGGGCACAAAUCCGCCAGGCAGAUUUAAAUCUGCAUCUACAGGUGCGCAAGUUCGAAAUUGAAGCCGAUAAGGAAGUUGGACAUCAAGGCAGAGAAGGCUGUAGCUGUUUCCGCUGUCCCGCAGAACUCCUCAGUGGUAAGUGACAAUUCAGCUAAUUCGAGUUCAGCCACUUUUGAUGUGGGCAAGCACAUUGCUUUAGUGCCAAGUUUUUGUGAAUCAGAAGUGGAUAGCUAUUUUAACGCUUUUGAAAGAAUUUCAGCUUCUUUGGGUUGGCCUGAAGACGUAUGGUCAUUGUUGUUGCAGUGCAAAUUAGCUGGGAAAGCUUUGGAGGUUUAUUCAACCCUGUCUUUGGAGGACAGUCUAAAGUAUGAUGUGGUUAAGCUAGCAGUACUCAAAGCUUAUAAGUUAGCCCCAGAGGUCUAUUGGCAGCAGUUUCGUACUCGUAGGAAAAUCGCAAGCCAAACAUACAUUGAAUUCGCCCGAGAUAAGGGAAUUAUUUUUGAUAGAUGGUGUGCUUCCAGUAGAGCAGAGGAUUUUAUGUCGUUUAGAGAGCUGGUAUGUUACUUGAAGAUUUUAAACAGUGUCUACCCGAGAGGAUGGUACUAUACUUGAAUGAACAGAAAAUAACAUUAUCUCAGGCAGCAGUGUUCGCAGACGAAUUUGUUAGCGAUCGCUGAAAGGAGUUUUUUAGGCCACCGUCGAGGUUCAGCAGCCCAAACUGAGUGGUGAAAAGCCAAAAUAAAUGUGAGUGUUUUUACUGUCAUAAGAAAGGACAUGUUAUAGCAGAGUGUUUGUCCCUAAAGAAUAAAGUACAGAAUAAAGGUGAAAUUGACAGUUUAUGAAACAUUUCUUUUUAAAUGGUUGUGUAUCACUAUCAGAUAGGGAGGAAGAUCAGGUAGAAGUGCAGGUGUUAAGAGACACGGGCAUCGCCCAGUAGUUUGUGUGCGCAGAUGUUUUGCCUUUUUCAGAACGUCCUGUUUUACCGGUGAAAGGUGUAUCCUUCAUUUUAGGUAACGAUUUGGCUGGAGGGAAAGUGGUACCUUCGCUGGAGGUAGUUGACAAUGUAAGAAAUAAAAAAGU